CGGCGGACGGGUGAGUAACACGUGGGUAACCUGCCUGUAAGACUGGGAUAACUCCGGGAAACCGGGGCUAAUACCGGAUGGUUGUUUGAACCGCAGGGUUCAGACAUAAAAGGUGGCUUCGGCUACCACUUACAGAUGGACCCGCGGCGCAUUAGCUAGUUGGUGAGGUAACGGCUCACCAAGGCGACGAUGCGUAGCCAACCUGAGAGGGUGAUCGGCCACACUGGGACUGAGACACGGCCCAGACUCCUACGGGAGGCAGCAGUAGGGAAUCUUCCGCAAUGGACGAAAGUCUGACGGAGCAACGCCGCGUGAGUGAUGAAGGUUUUCGGAUCGUAAAGCUCUGUUGUUAGGGAAGAACAAGUGCCGUUCAAAUAGGGCGGCACCUUGACGGUACCUAACCAGAAAGCCACGGCUAACUACGUGCCAGCAGCCGCGGUAAUACGUAGGUGGCAAGCGUUGUCCGGAAUUAUUGGGCGUAAAGGGCUCGCAGGCGGUUUCUUAAGUCUGAUGUGAAAGCCCCC
rnacentral:rRNA from 1 species